GGUGGGGCUGAGGGGUUGUGAGGUGCCCUCCAACCUGAGCCAUUCUAUGCGUCUGUGACUCACUUUAUGACUCACAGAAGGCUGUGUAAGGCUGUGACUCGAACCAGCCAGCAGGGAGCAAUGGAGAGAGGCAGAAUCCAAGCAGGCUGCAGAAAGCACAUUAAGAAAGGAAAGCACUGAGGAAAGUCUCUGAAGACCACUACUCAACAGCACGCUGUUCAUGCAAACCAGCUGUGGCCUGAGGGCGUGGAAGGCAGAGAAUCACCCGACAUCCAGCACCUCCUGGGAGGCAGUGAGCAUUGCCAGUGGCUGCCUCUGGCCCCACACCGCGCAGCUCAGCUGGUUCUCCCAUGCAGAAGGGUGCUGCGCUGUGAUUUUCCUUCUCCAAAGACCCCAGGACAGAAAACUGUAAUAUUAACCUGGUC